UACGUAGGGGGCAAGCGUUGUCCGGAUUUAUUGGGCGUAAAGAGCGUGUAGGCGGCUUUACAGGUCCGUUGUGAAAACUCGAGGCUCAACCUCGAGACGCCGAUGGAAACCAUCUAACUAGAGUCCGGAAGAGGAGAGUGGAAUUCCUGGUGUAGCGGUGAAAUGCGCAGAUAUCAGGAAGAACACCAGUGGCUAAGGCGGCUCUCUAGUACGGUACUGACGCUGAGACGCGAAAGCGUGGGGAGCGAACAGG
rnacentral:rRNA from 1 species